rnacentral:lncRNA from 1 species
UUGGCAGCUGUCCUUUAGAAUUGGAAGCAUAUAAACACCACACCCAAAUUCCAACUCCUCCUCGCUCGCCGCUUCCUCCGCUCCGCCGCAGCCAACCCCUCUCUGCCUCUUUCCUCUGCGCCUGCGCCGCCGCCUCACCGGCCUCCUCGGCUCUCCACCCCACGCGCCGCCGCCAACUUCCUCCAUCCAUUCAUCCACAUCCGCGGUCAAUGGCGUCGAUGCGGCAUUGGCGACAACGGUAUGUUGUGCUCGUCAAUGGUGAGUUCUUGGCUGCUCGCUCUUUGCCUGGAUCCCCAAUCCAGUUUGUGCUCGGUUUCAGUCCCCGAAUCCCUCCUCUGCUCAAUGUUGGGGAUGUGAGUUUCUUGCUCUCUCUCUCUCUCUCUCUCUCUCUGAUUAUGAUUAGUUGUUGAAAUUCCAGAUGAUAUAUUGAUAUCCAAACAUAAACUAAAAUGAGAUGUAGUCCAGCUUUCUAGAUGCCUAACCCCACCAGUAGCUAGGACCCUCCCUGAUCUGGUUGGUGUCAAGUGAGGAUUGGUUGAGCAUGCUUUCGCUGCUCAUGGUGGAGUAUUGUGAGAACUAUUCGCUCUAUUAUUGCCUCAGCAUGUGAUCGAGCGUAGUGGAGCGCUCUUAGAAUUAUUCGCUCUAUUAUUGCCUCAUGAUGUGAUCGGUAUUAAGCCGCAUGUUAACAUCAGGGAGGGAGGGAGGAGGGGAUCCAUUCUUCUUUGUAAUAAAGAACUUUUGAUAAGAAAUUCUUCUGCUAAAGAAUAGAUGAGCCUAUAAAUAGAAGCUUCAGCGCACUCUAUAUUAUAUGAGAUAACAAAAGAAAGAGUCAAAGGCUCAAAUCCAUCGAUAUGGCUGCAAGACUGUUUGCGAUUCCCCAUGAAAUCCAAAUAUGGAAAUCAAAAGGCUUGAAGUAGAUACUGUUGGCAUACACACAACCAUAGAGUUCAUCUUCAGAACCAAAUCCACGUUCUUGAAAAUAUGAGGAGGGUGCUGCUGGAAGAACAACAAUCGCUCAUCGUGAUGGCUGCCCACCAUGGUGACCGUAGAAACUAGCAUAGAAAAAAGUAGAUAUCUCAAGUGACUUUGUUCAUUUACGUUGGGAUAGACAAGUAACUACCUUUUCUAUUUUAGUUUCUAUGGUCACUUUGGUGGCAGCCAUGAUAGACAGAAACAAAGGCUCACCGAUGAAACCCAGGACUUGCUCUACUUCAAGCUUAUUGUUUUCUAUAUUCUGGAUUUCCUGAGGAAUCACUAGUAGUCGUUCAGCGAUAUCCAUGGCUUUGACUCUUUCUUUCUUGUCCCGCACAAUAUAGAGUGUGAUGAAGCUUCUAUUAAUAGGCUUGACUUUAGCAGUAGAAUUUCUUAUUAGAAAUUCUAUUUUUAAUAGACUAUACCAUAGAGAAUUUUCCUAGGAUUCAUGUCCUCCAUUAGUGCGAAAAAGAUUGAAUCUCUUGAGUCCCCCUUGGUUUUGACACACAGCUUAAUCCUGAUCACAUCCUGAGGCAAUAGUAGAGUGAAUAAUUCCGAGUACUCCACCACGAGCAGUGAAAGCACGCUCAGCCAAUCCUCACUCACUGCUCAUUAUGUGCUCAGCGAGAUCGUUGCCAAGGCCAUGCUUUAUAUAUUACUAGAAAAAAUGCCCGUGCGAUGCAACGGGUGGAGACUAUUUUAAUCUUAUUAUUGUUAUACGGUUAGUUAAGAUGAAAUUCAUUGUGAGAAUUCGUUUGGAUAUAUUUUUUUUUAGAAAAUCAUGUGCUACAAUUAGAAGUCCGAUCAUCUCAAGUUAGUAUGUAUUUUUUUAAAGGGAUUUUUUAUACAACUCCUUUUGUAUUUCCAAAACCGAACGAACUUAAAAUCCGACUCAAAUAAAUAUGGAUUUGUAUUUCCAAAAGCGAACGAACUUAAAGACCGACUCAUACACGGAUGACGUACCAAAAUACCGGCAAAAACAUCUUCAAUUUUUAUAAUAGUAGAGAUAUAAAAAGGUGAGCAAAAUAUAUUUUAUUGGAAAAAAACUGUACUUGAGAUAUUCUGAGUCCGUUUGGACUAAGGGUCAUGUAUCUAUUCACCUGUUUGGAAUGAAGGAAAUGGUUGAGCAAUUAAUAUGAAAUACUGUUGAAAACCUACGAUUUUGCAGGAAACAGAAACAUUCAACUGGAACAUAUUUCAGUUGAAACCUAUGGUAGCAUAUUGCAGUAAGCAACUUAGAACUGAUAUGUCUCUGAAGCAAGCAUGCAGUAAAUUUUUUAUUUUUUUAGAACUGACAUCUCUGAAGCAAGCAUGCAGCAAGUAGUGGCAUAGAUUAACUUGUUGAGUUUAACAAUAUAUGCCAACUAGACCAUCAACAAAACAUAGGCAUCGGGCAUGUAUCUCUAUUUCUGCCAAAUCUUUGCUGUAAUGCCUGCUUACAACAAUUGGUUAUUGAAAAAAUGCGUUACAAUUUAGCACUACCCAGCUUACAUUCCUUUUCUUCCACUCAUGUUAGAACCUCAAAAUUUUCUAAGACAAAUAUUAUUAACAUCAACUAGGAAGUACUUAUGAAUCAUCAUCACAGUGAGCCACAACAGUGCAUUCUGCUAAAGCUGCAAGUAGCCGUGGCAUUGGAGGCAUAUCAAGCUCCUGUAAACCCUCAAGAACCCGGACCACUUCAUUCAUUGUUGGCCGAUCAAUCUCAUUCUCUUGGAUGCACCAACAUGCAACUUUGCAAACUCUUUCAACCUCUACUAGACUGAAGUCACCAUUUAACUGCGGGUCUACCAAACUCUGGACAUCUCCCUCAUGAAGCUUGCUAAUGGCUUGCACAGGGAAAAAGGCAACUUGAUCACUAUUGUCAUCAGUAUGAACUUUAUAUGAAUUCCUUCUUCCUGAUAAGAUUUCCAAAAGUACCAUACCGAAGCUAUAAACAUCAACUUUUGGUGUAAUAGCAACUCCACUAAUCCACUCUGGAGCAAGAUAUCCUACUGUGCCUCUGAAUGUAGUCAAAACUCGGCUAAAGUUCCUUCCUACAAAUGCUGCCAUCCCAAAGUCUGCAAUUUUAGGGGCAAACGAUGCAUCGAGAAGUAUGUUUUCUGGCUUAAUAUCACAAUGUAUGAUGCAUUCGUUGCAGCUCUGAUGCAAGUAGGACAAUCCUCUAGCAACUCCUAUGGCUAGGUUAUACCUGGUGGUCCAAUUCAGGACAGUAGCCUUGCUCUGAAACAGAUGGGCAUCAAGAGAACCAUUUACCAUGUGUUCAUACACAAGUAGUCUCUCAUCACCUUCGCAACAGAAACCAAUCAAUUUGACAAGGUUGAUAUGUUGGAUCAAUCCAAUUGAGCUCACCUCAGCCCUGAAUUGCUUCUCUCCCUGACGAGCACCGUCAAGCUUUUUCACUGCUAUAAUAGUCGAGUCACUUAGCACUCCCUUGAAUACAGAACCAAAACCACCUCCUCCCAGCUUUUCAGAGAAAUUUUUAGUAGCAUGACAUAAAUCAUUGUAUCUAAAGGCCACAAUUCCACCACUACAUUGACUGUCGUGUAAUUGUGCGCCACAGAACCUUAGUUUCUUCCUUAAUACCAGUAAGAUCAGCAUGAGCAUUACCAACAAACUGACAAUGCUUGCAGCAACAACUGCAACGAUUGGCUUUAUUUUGUUUUUUCUCGAACUUGGCACAUCUUUGGCGGCAAGCCGAAGGUAGAGAACAUCUUCAGAACUAUUAUCAAUGCCAUCAUUCCUAUUUACACUAAGCAAAUCUCCAUGCCAAAUAGAGCAUUUACUAUUUUCGUAGGAAUAGGCAUUGCAGGAGCAGUAACUGAGACAAGCCUGUGCACAUUUGCUCUGAGUGGUAGCAUUGUCUACAAUUUGGGGGUUGUAGGGCAAUCUAACACGAGCUAUGGUGUGGAACACGUCUGUGGAGCUUGUCGUGUUACUGCAAUCUAACGGAGUGUUUCUAGAGCAACCUGCUGUUCUAUUAUCAAGCUCCCAAUCUCGAGGCGACUUUUGAGAGAAGCUCUCCAUACAGUCACAGAAUGGAUGUGCAAUGCCAUUGCAGAUUGUGAAAGGUCCACAAGUAGCAUACGCCGUGCAGGGAUCAGCUGGUUGGGCAUAAACCUGCUUCCAGGAUUGUGUAUCUUGUGACCAAACAUUUAUCUCGAUCUGCCCAGAGAUGUCUAGCAAGACAUAUGCAUAAUAUGAUUCAUCCAAUAAAAUGUAUUCAUAGUACUCUUCUUCAUUGUUGUUGACAUAUGUCAUGUUAAUCCGACCUUUAGUCUCUGGAUUUAUGUUUAUCAGCUGAUUAAGUAAUGAUAUAAGUGCACUUGAUGACUUUUCAGAUGACCAAGACCAAUACAUAUUUGGGGGGUUACUACGGCUAAGGUCAAUCCCUGUGUUGUCAAGCUCAACAUAGUACAAGCCAAGACCUGGAUCAAUCAGGUUCUUCUUUGAUGUGAACCGACGAGUAAAGCCAGUGACCUUAUUCCAGCCAAACUUGGCUCCAGGAAGCAAAACAUCUGACGGAUAGUCAAAGCUCUGCCACAACACAUUGGGUGAGCUUCCUAUCACAAGGUUUCCAUCGUUUGAGAGAACGACACUGGUACUGCUGUUCAUGGUGGUGGCUGAUGUCCUAUUGACAGUACUGGACCAGAUUAUGGAUGCAUUGCUUGAGAUGACAAGGUUGCCAUCUUUUGAUAGUUUCAGCUGCGUUUGAUUGAGCUGGAGUUCAGUGACUGGACUAUCCCUAUUAGCAACCCAGACAGUAGUAAAAACUGAGAUGUUACUGAACCAUAUUCC